ACAGUUCUAUUUGCCACUCUGCCUUUGGAAUGAUAAAUGGUGAAAUUGUAAUGCCUACUUUAAAUCGUGCCAUGUUGAUUUGGUGAAAACAAUGUAUAUAACUCUACCCAGGGCUAUACUUGAUGGGAUACAAUCCAGGAAUUCAGUAUUUAGACACCAUAUGUUGGCUUCUUUGUUCUUAUCCCUUUUUAUUUAAGCAGGAGCUUCAGAAGACAAUUCUUACAUUCUUAAAUUAAAUUCUUAAAUCUGUGACUCUUUGUAUUAUUGGGAUAAAAGGGUUAGAGGAGUUCUUCAGUUUAAAAGAAGUUGUAGUAUUCUUGGCUGCUCUGAGGGGUCUGAAGCUGGGGUCUGCUCUAGUUCUUGUCUAUCCAGUGUGCUGCAUUAGAAGUGGAGGCAGAACAGCCAGCCCCUGGGAGAGAGGGAAAUCUGCUGUCACUCCAGCAAACUCUGAGAGACUCUGGGUCCUCCUACAAGCUCUUACUGGGUCCCUGAAGUUGGUUUAUACUUCUAAACAGAUAUAUCCAGCUAUGUUGCAAGAAGGGAAUGGCUCUUUACCCUUAACAGUCUGCACAGAUAAGGACUGUUUGCUACCAGAGAACCUGUUUUUCCAAGUAAUGAAGUAAAGCCAACUGGAUUGGUGAUAAGAGCUUGCUUUUCCUAGACAGAAUUCAUCCCAGGAGAAUGCGUGGUGCAAAGUAGUCAACAGCUCUAACACUGCUGCAGCAGAAUAACCCUUCAUCUGGGGUGCUUCCUGGCCUGAGUGCAAUAAAAUAUAGCUAAGAAAACUACUUUCAGGAGGCUGAAAUCUGGAGGAGAUCAAAAUCUGGCUCAUUUGGCACAGGAAAGCCAAGAAACCAUGCAGGACUGGAAACUUCUAGUUGGUUUUCAUUUGAUUGGGAAAUUCUCUGCAAGGCCUUAUGGAAAAGUCAGCUGGGUGUUUUGUCCUGCUCCCUCCCAGGCAGAAGAGCAGCCCUCACUGGAGAAGAUGGAGUGGAUUUUGAUGGCACCACACAGAAUCUGAGGAGGUUCCAGGCUGUUCCUUCCAUGCUGAGACAUCUAUGGAGGUGGGAGAUGCAGACCCCUGUGGGGAAAGAGUGGGGCAGUCUAAGGACGACCAUGGAUGGAAUGGAAAGAGUGAUCACCUCUGAGAGCAGAGUUUGGUCUCUUGCUGCAUCAGCUCCUGGGAAAUCCUGCCAGUCAGUACAGGAGCUCCAGGCUUUCUGUGGGUCCCCAGGAGCAGAAGACAAGCUAACCAUGCUUGGGUGUAGGCAUGUAUGACGGGUUCCUGACAUGGCUCAUAGACUCACAGUAAAUUGCUGUUUUCACAUCUGCAGUUCUUUGCCAAAAAUGUAGAUUUCCGUAGAAAACCUUUCAUACCUUCAAUGCACAUCACAGAGUAUGCUGAUUUGGAAGGAAUACACAAGGAUCACCGAGUCCAGCUCUUACCCUGCACUGGACAUCCCAAGAGACACACCAGAGUGCUCUCAGAGUGCCUGACAGAAUUGUCCAAACACUUCCUGAACUCUGCCAGGCUUGGGGCUGUGACCACUUCCCUGGGAUGCUACCACUGAUCACUGAAGUUGAAUGCAGAAGUACUCUCUUUUUCUCGUAAUUUGUGUGCUUCCACAGCCCUUUCCAAAACUGAGCCUUUAGAAACAAAUGCAGAGUACAUGACCCAUUAGUCUGACCCUGUGGAAAAUAUUAGAUUAUGCAGAUGUUUUUGCACAUCCUUUGUGUAAUGGUAGAGCUAUUGUGUAACUUGAUUUUUUUUGUUAUGAGCAAACUUACACCAGGGGCAGCUGGUAGUACUAUCUUCUGAUCACAGAGCUCCAGAAGGAUAUAAAUAGGGAAUGAAGAAUGAACAGUCGUAUUAAAAGCUUGCCCUGAGUGGAUUUUUUUUUUUUUUUUCCUGAGCUUAUAAAUAGAAAUAAAACCUAAACACACCGGAAUAAACAAAACUAAAUAGACUGAAAUAAACACAGAACUGUGGCAGGUAUUGUCAUCACUGCUGACACGAGUGAAUGGUUUUUUUGGUUAAUGACAAAGCAAAGCCAGGAAGGAACCUUAAAGAUAUCCAAGUCUGAGCAGUGGAAAUGCUAGACUGUUUUUCUAGGAGGUGGAGCAGAGAUGAGGAGCCCAAGCCCUGUCUGGUGUCACAGGGUGUCAGUGGCUCUAGGUAAGGCUUGGUGAUGCACACACCAAGGUGUGGGAGGUGGGGACAGACCUCUCCUUCCUUCCAGGGCCACACCAGCCUCUUCCAGCUGAGAUGCUCCUGCCUUCUGUCAUCCAGAGGAUGGCAAAAUGUGGGUGGUAGGUGAAAAAAUGCUGAUGAGGCUACUAAAGAGUCAGCCAAAUACUUGGAAUAUUUUUCAAAACUUUUGGCAGUCGGAACAGGAUUGCAAUCUGGAAGAAAAAGACCUGUGUGUCUUGUUCAGUAGAUGUUUCCAGCUGCUGGUAAUUGUAUUGGCAGUAGGAGUUAGGUAAUAACUGCAAAGUUAUUGCUUUUUAAUGCAUGCAAAUGUUGUGCAACUGCCACUGAUGUUCAGCUAGACAUGCCCUACUUUGCAUGUCUCAGUUUUUGCCAUCUAAAUAAAUUGCAGGUUGUUGAACAAUCUCUUCCUUUCCCAACACUAUAUUGUUUGCUAAACAAUUUUUUUUUCUUUUUUUGUUUGGGUUGUUGUUUUUUUUCUCCUCUAAGAAGAAUGAAGUAUUGCCUUUUUCCAAAAUCAAAGCUCUUUAGGAUGGUUAGCCUUUCUGGUCUGUCUUAUUACUGAUAUUUAUACAGAUGUACUGGCAAACACAGAUUUAUUGCAAUAUUUAUUAGGCUGAAUUUGAGGUUAUUUAUAAUGUGGUUAGAUGGCUAUUUAUUAGACAUGUCACUGUAGCUAUUUAACACUUCUAUAGCUGUCUAGCUGGUAUUAGGACAUAAAACAGAAUUUAUUGUAUUUUAUCCAGAAAAUAUUACACGAAGAGUAAAUUCUAACAAAGACACAACCAUCAGAAUAAUGAAGGGACCAGGAAGAAGAAAACUGCUGUUUUAAACAGCAAUUCUCAGCCAAACUGAAGGAGGGAAAUAUUUAGGAUGUGAGGAAGUCCAGGUGCAGUUUUCAGGUUCCCUAAAGUGCACCAACACUCUGCCUAACAGCUGACCUUUCCCUUAUGAAAUGGACAUUUUUCAUUUAGAAAAGGAAAUGAGAGUCAUCUUCUUUGAUUUGUUUUGUGCUGAUUAAGUAGAGUUAAAAAGUUCUAUGGGACCAUUUUCUCAAGGAACAACUUCAUAAGAACCAAGUAUUUCACAGGCAGGUGUUACUGUGGUGUUUUUAAUGUCUUGUGUUAAGGUGGUAUUGACUAGUGUAUUUCACUGUGAUGGAUUCCAAAGACUUUUUUUCAUAUUGGUGUUUUUUAACUCUGCAUUUCACUGUUGUGAAAGCUUUCUGCAGCAUCAGGACAAAAAGCUUUAUUUCUAUUAAUAUCUAUGGGGUUUGGAUCUUUUCCUUAUUUUAAACAGAAAAUGAGUGCACAUGUUGAAUGUCUCAUGGAGAAAUGUGAAGGAGACUUCCUUGCAAGGAAGAGACCAUAAGUGUAAAAAAAAUUUUCAAAAAUAGUUAUGAAUUUCCUUUAAAAAUAGUUUCCUGUAACCUUUAGAAAAUGCAGAUUCUUUAGGAAAAUAAGUCUCCCAUUUUCAUAUACACACACAGACCAUCUUAAAAUACUUCACCAAAAGAAGCCAGUCUCUGUUUAACAAAUAAACCCAUUUCUGUGGGAGGAUGUGGAGGAGGGAGGAAAUGAGGCCAUGGAAGGUUUGCAGGUGUGGGGGUGAAGCUGGGCAGCCACUGCUUCCCACUGCUUGUGAAGGUGCAGGGAGACAGGAUGGAGUGAAGGGAGCUGUUCUCCUUUUCCUUGGGCCUCCUUUUGGCACUUUCUUGGGGCAAAGGAGCGUUUGUGCAGAAGCAGCAGGCUCCAUCCUGGCCCUUGCCUUUCCAGCCUAAUUCAAAUUGUACACCCCAAGCCCCAUGGGAUAACCCUCCCUGCAGAUACCUAAUUAUCUCAUCACAGGAUGGCAGCUAUUGUGGACCAAUAAAUACAUAUUUAUCCUUUGAUUCUUGCAGAUGGGGGAACACAAAUACUUCAUCCUCCAGCCUUGAAUGGCACAAGAUGAGAUCUUGACCAACACAGAAGUAGGAAAUCACGGGGGAAACCUCUGUCCAGAUUACACCUGCUUUGAGAUAAGUUUUAAUGAUGAUUUUUAGAGUGUAGCUGCAAACUAAGCUCAAGCUAAUGAUGGUGAGAAACUACAGUAGGUAAUUCAAGGAGACUAUACAUUUUCUUAAAUUCAUUAGCUGUCCACUGAGGGUUGAAGAGAAUAUAACUAAAAAUCAUUACAAGUGAAUUAUGAAGUUCAAAUACAAUGAGUUACUUUGCUCAUACAAAACUUCAAGGGAGACAAAUCAGGGAGGUUUAUUAGCAUAGCCUACUUUUUUAACAAACCUUACAAGGAAGGGAAAAUAUAAUAAUGUAAGUUAGUUGAAGAUUCAUGUUCCCAUAAUAGCUGUACCUGCAGUAUCCUACCUGGGAAAUUUAUUCUCUGUGGGUGAUGAUGCUGUUGAAUAGUUUUUAUUUCUCAGCCAUUGUUAUUUUUUUCCCCUCUAAGAAGAUUGUUUGUGCAUGCCUAUUAACAUGCAAUCCUCUCCUACCUAGAACUUUCUUCAGCUGCAUUACACCUGAGCCAGGGGUUUUGCAAGGGAGCAAAGGGCAGCAUGCAAAACUGAUCAUAAAUACACUCCCAAAAAGUCAUUUUUAUUUGAGCUCAUUCAUUCUAAUUGUUCUCUUGAGGCUUGAUUUGGAACACAGAGAAAGCCAAAGGGGACUUACUGGGCUGUGGGUCAGGUUUUCAGGUCACCUGUACAUGGCAAGUGGUGAAUAAUGAGCAGCACUGUGCCAGCCCCUUAGGCCUGACCCUGAGGAUGGAGGUAAGAACUCAACCACUGACCUCAUCAAGUGCAUUCUCUGGGAUGGAGGAGAGCACAGCCACUAACUCCUUCUGCAGCAAAAGGCAGCCACAGACCUUAAUGAUUAGCAGGCUGGUGUGUCCCAGUAAUGCAGUUGACCAUGCCCUGAUUAAGUGGUGCAAACUGUGCCUCUGAACAUUUUCUCCGUGGAAUUCGUUCUUUUGUUGAUGGCAAUGGUCCAAGAAGUUGUUAGUCACUGCUGGGACUUGAUAUGAUUACAGAUAUAUUUCCAUGUUCAAUUACGAGUACUGUGAUGACUGAUUUGUCCCUUCCACUGGUAUAAACAGGUUAGGAUUAACACACAUAUUAUGCAAACCAAACUACAUACAUUAAAAACUGUUUUGAGUGGA